rnacentral:rRNA from 1 species
CAGCCGCCACGGGAAUACGUAGGGUGCAAGCGUUAAUCGGAAUUACUGGGCGUAAAGCGUGCGCAGGCGGUUAUAUAAGACAGAUGUGAAAUCCCCGGGCUCAACCUGGGAACUGCAUUUGUGACUGUAUAGCUAGAGUACGGCAGAGGGGGAUGGAAUUCCGCGUGUAGCAGUGAAAUGCGUAGAUAUGCGGAGGAACACCGAUGGCGAAGGCAAUCCCCUGGGCCUGUACUGACGCUCAUGCACGAAAGCGUGGGGAGCAAACAGGUUUAGAUACCCGCGUAGUCCCUGUCUCUUAUAC